ACCUUGAAAAAUUUUUCUAAUUGCUUAUUCUUCCUCUGUCCCUCAUGCACUAUACUUCACUUCUCUUUACACUAAGUUUUACAUUUCUUUUAUAUUUUUUACUGGAUCUCUGAGAGCUACUUGGGUUUAUGUUGUACCACCCUGAAGAUGUGUUGACGAGGUGGAAGGUGGUCGUUGUAUCGUUAGGAGUGAUUGGCGGAACCUAUACAAAUAAACUAAUUGACAGUUCAUUCUAUACACGUGUCCGCUCCUCCUUUCUGCAACUCCUCCUUUCUCCUCUUUUCUCUUCAUCUUUCCUCUCUCCUCCCUCCUAUACCAAAUAAAUAUGAAAUUCAUGAUUACACCUUGGGAAGGUACCAAAUCUUUCCAAAUCCAUCUCGGAAAGGUACCAAAUCUAUGCAAUGAUUACACCUCAGAAAGGUACCAAAUCUUUUCAAAUCCACCUCGACAAGGUACCAAAUCUAUCCAAUAAUUACACCUCAGGAAGGUACCAAAUCUUUCCACAUCCACCUCGGAAAGGUACCAAAUUAACUAUCCAAAUUUGUUUCGACAAAAUUCUCAUUUCUUUACCUCGGCAAGGGACAAAAUCGUCAACUUGAUUCAGAUGUGUAUAUAGAGAACCUAUAUUCUCAUGAGAUCUUUGAGAGCUACUUGGGUUUGUAUUGUACCAUCCUGAAGACGUGCCGACGAUGUGGAAGGUGGUUGUUGUAUCGCUAGGAGUGAUUGUUGGAACUUCGCACGCAGAGGGGCAAUCUUGCUUCUAGGCCCCAAUGUUCUAUCUUUUGAUGGAUGAGGAGUGGUUGGCAUUCAUUUAACUGGGAUCCACUUCUACCCUAAUUCUCUUGUUUAGUGUUUGGGAGGUGACCUCAUCAUCAUCAUGUCUUUCUCCAACUUUUCAAUUGAGUCAUCAUCUCUAGGGUUUUAAUCAUAAGGUUUUGUAUUGUAUUGUAUUGUAGGUUUUUGUAUUGCAUUAUUGAAUGUCAUGAUAUGAAAACCCUAACAAAUUCUUCAAAUGUUGAAUCAAAGUAGACAAAGUCUUAGAUGUUUGUAUUGAAUUUUAUAGAUGGAUAAAAAUUAGGGAAAAAACACAAUGUACAAAGACCUCCGAACUGCAGCGCUUUUGUAAACAGACGUUCGAACUUUUAAUUUUAGUCGUUAGAUUACCUAAAUUUUGUCUAAUAACAUUGAAAGUUU